rnacentral:misc_RNA from 1 species
GGAAAUAAAAGUCGUAACAAGGUCUCCGUUGGUGAACCAGCGGAGGGAUCAUUACAGGACUCGCAAGACUCCUACAACCCUGUGAACUUAACUAUAAGCACGUUGCUUCGGCGGGUGUCUCGGAGGGGGUUCUCCCUCCCCGAGACGCUAAACCCGCCGGCAGCCUACUAUACUCUGUCUCUUUGCGUUGGCAUCUCGAGUACAAUCAAACAAGUUAAAACUUUCAACAACGGAUCUCUUGGUUCUG